rnacentral:rRNA from 1 species
AGGGGAAUAUUGCACAAUGGGCGCAAGCCUGAUGCAGCCAUGCCGCGUGUAUGAAGAAGGCCUUCGGGUUGUAAAGUACUUUCAGCGGGGAGGAAGGGAGUAAAGUUAAUACCUUUGCUCAUUGACGUUACCCGCAGAAGAAGCACCGGCUAACUCCGUGCCAGCAGCCGCGGUAAUACGGAGGGUGCAAGCGUUAAUCGGAAUUACUGGGCGUAAAGCGCACGCAGGCGGUUUGUUAAGUCAGAUGUGAAAUCCCCGGGCUCAACCUGGGAACUGCAUCUGAUAAUGGCAAGCUUGAGUCUCGUAGAGGGGGGUAGAAUUCCAGGUGUAGCGGUUAAAUGCGUAGAGAUCUGGAGGAAUACCGGUGGCGAAGGCGGCCCCCUGGACGAAGACUGACGCUCAGGUGCGAAAGCGUGGGGAGCAAACAGG